rnacentral:rRNA from 1 species
CCUACGGGAGGCAGCAGUAGGGAAUAUUGCUCAAUGGGGGAAACUCUGAAGCAGCAACGCCGCGUGGAGGAUGAAGGUUUUCGGAUUGUAAACUCCUUUUGUUAGAGAAGAUAAUGACGGUAUCUAACGAAUAAGCACCGGCUAACUCCGUGCCAGCAGCCGCGGUAAUACGGAGGGUGCAAGCGUUACUCGGAAUCACUGGGCGUAAAGAGCGCGUAGGCGGGAUAGCAAGUCAGAUGUGAAAUCCUAUGGCUUAACCAUAGAACUGCAUUUGAAACUGUUAUUCUAGAGUAUGGGAGAGGUAGGUGAAAUUCGUGGGGGAGGGGUAAAAUCCGUAGAGAUCAAGAGGAAUACUCAUGGCGAAGGCGACCGGCUAGAACAUAACUGACGCUGAUGCGCGAAAGCGUGGGGAGCAAACAGGAUUAGAUACCCCAGUAGUC